AAGGAGGAUGCCCUGUGAUGGCAUAGUGGAGAGUAAUUGUUGACUGUUGCCUCCCAUAGUGAUGGGGCAGGGAUAGACCUAAGUCCUCCCUGCUGUUGAACAUAGCAAACAAGCUGCCCAUUUGAUUCCAGAUGUUUCUUCCCCCCAUUCCUUCCUAAACUUCCUUUUUUAAAAAAACAAAAGCUAUGGGACCUCCCAGGAGCAAAUGACAGCAUGGAUUUCUCUUUCUCCUGAAAACCAGGACAUUGAGUUUAUGAGAUCUUUCUUAUUUCUGCUGGCUCUGGUCAUACAUCUCCUAGCUCCUGUGGUUAAUUUACAGUCUACUGAAGAAAUAUCUUUCAGAAAACUCUACUUGGCUGGCUGUUCAGUUGAAAAUGUCUGGCAUCUGGAAAAGAGAAUUGUUACUGGAUACCUCCAUCUUGAUAACCUUAAAUAUUCACUUAUAAGAGAUCAUUUUCAGAUAAGGAAACUGAGGCUAACAAAGUUGCAUGAUUUGUCAAGGCACCCAGAGCUAGUAAGUAUCCCCCAAGACUGUAUUAGUAUCAUGCUUAUGAAUCUUCAGUGGCUCCUCAAGGCUAUCAACCCUUAUCAAGCCCUUCACAAUAUGAUUACAGCCUGCUCUUCCAGACUUAUUUCACAUAAUUCCCUUUCUUGCACUAUGAUGUCCAGGCAAAUUGGUCUAUUUGUUGUCCCAAAAGUUGAUAUUCCAUUUCCUGUUCAUAUGCCUUGGCAUAGACUGUCCCUCAUGCCUAAUGUACUAUGUGUACUUCCUUCUACCUCUCUGAAAACUUAGCUUCCUUCAACACAUGAUACAUUUUUAAAAGUAUUUCUUAAGCACAUACCAUGUGACAAAAACUCUUCUGAGUUCUGGGGAUACAGAUUAAAAGAGCAAAAUCAAUCUCUGCAUUCAAGGAUGUUACAUUCUAAUUAGAGAAAACAUCACAUAUAGAAAAGUGAUGGCUCGAAAGGGGUCAUUUGGUUCUGAAAAUUGCUGGGAAGAUGAAUGAGGUCACAGAAGGUAGAUUGACAUGCUCUGUCCAAGAUCAGUAGCAAGAGUUGAUUUGAUUAUGGUUUGUGGCUCAAGACCUGGAGCUGGGAAUGGAGCAAGAAGGCACGCAGGAGGUAAAAAGGCAGUUGGAAAGGCUAUGGUGAUGGUCAGAGAGUUGAGGGCGAAGUAACACAUGACUGGGGCUUUCCCAAAAGUGUUCUGGAAGGGACAGUAAUCAACAAUAUUAUCAGAGUGCCUUGCAGCAGUUCCAUUGAAAAGACUAACCUUUCUAGGGCAGGCUCUCUGCUGUAGGCUGUAGGGCAGGCUAUUGGCAAGGUAGUGGAAGAGUAGGGAGAGUAAGCUUAUCUCACAUGUCAAUUCAUCUGGGAAGCCCUCCCAGGUUGUUAAUGCUUUCUGUGGCCUCAAAUUAUCAUGAAUGUACUUAUAUGUUUACAUGUUAUAUCCUUAGCAAAAUAUAAGUUCCUUAAAGGUGGACUAUUUUUUUAAGAGGAUCAACAGCAUUUCAGAGUGAUGACUUUACUUGUGAGUUAACUGGAUUUAAGUGAGUCAGAGUUGCACGAAGUUAACAGUCUCACUCUCUUUUCCCAAUCAUCAAAGUCUGGUGGCAAGACAAGAGUCAAGAUGAUUGGUAAUGGUCCAGGAUGCAGAAGAUGACCUUGGAGUCUUCAAUGUCUGACCAAGCUCUAAG
ensembl:lncRNA